rnacentral:rRNA from 1 species
GACGAACGCUGGCGGCGUGCUUAACACAUGCAAGUCGAACGAAAAGAGGGAAAGAGCUUGCUCUUUCCGGAAUUGAGUGGCAAACGGGUGAGUAACACGUAAACAACCUGCCUUCAGGAUGGGGACAACAGACGGAAACGACUGCUAAUACCGAAUAAGUUCCAAGAGCCGCAUGGCCCAUGGAAGAAAAGGUGGCCUCUACCUGUAAGCUAUCGCCUGAAGAGGGGUUUGCGUCUGAUUAGCUGGUUGGAGGGGUAACGGCCCACCAAGGCGACGAUCAGUAGCCGGUCUGAGAGGAUGAACGGCCACACUGGAACUGAGACACGGUCCAGACUCCUACGGGAGGCAGCAGUGGGGAAUCUUCCGCAAUGGGCGAAAGCCUGACGGAGCAACGCCGCGUGAGUGAUGACGGCCUUCGGGUUGUAAAACUCUGUGAUCCGGGACGAAAAGGCAGAGUGCGAAGAACAAACUGCAUUGACGGUACCGGAAAAGCAAGCCACGGCUAACUACGUGCCAGCAGCCGCGGUAAUACGUAGGUGGCAAGCGUUGUCCGGAAUUAUUGGGCGUAAAGCGCGCGCAGGCGGCUUCCCAAGUCCCUCUUAAAAGUGCGGGGCUUAACCCCGUGAUGGGAAGGAAACUGGGAAGCUGGAGUAUCGGAGAGGAAAGUGGAAUUCCUAGUGUAGCGGUGAAAUGCGUAGAGAUUAGGAAGAACACCGGUGGCGAAGGCGACUUUCUGGACGAAAACUGACGCUGAGGCGCGAAAGCGUGGGGAGCAAACAGG